rnacentral:lncRNA from 10 species
UAAAGACUGGAAUUUGAACCCAGGUCUGUGCACUUAAAUCCAAACCCUGAGCUGUUGACUAUGCUAUAACUACACCUCAGUAAGCCAGAGAGGACUGAAGACUCUUUAGAAUAACACCAAUCCCUCUGACUUUGGAGGUCUGUACACCAGUCAAAGACAGGAAAACCCUACUCAUUUCCUUUAUUGCUUUGCUUACAACAUGCUUCCCUCCCACACAUACUUUUCCAAAGGACACUUUUGCUUAAAAAAGAAAAAAAAUCUCCUUUUAAAAUGUAAAUGAAGAUUAAUUCUAUUAGCUAGUUAUGACCAUACAAGUUACUAAAAUCAACACUUUGUUGUUUUUCUCUAAGCUUCCUAAAAAUCAACCCCUAUUAAGAGGCCACAAGUUUGGAUUAGAGAGGGGAAAGUGAGAGACAGUUCAGGUGUUUGGUACACAGGGAGGAGGUUAGUUAUGUUUGAACAGCCAAUAGGGAUUCAGUGUGUAAGGUGAAAGAAGUGAAGAAGAAGGAAAUAUGGAAAAGAACAACCUCACCCACAUUACAGUUCAUAGUUUUGGCUAGGGCUCAAAUGGCAAGUGCUUGCUCUUCAACUUAAAGUCACCUUGCGUUUUUGUUUGUUUGUUUGUUUGUUUUUUUAAUCAGGGUCUCGCUCUGUCACCCAGGCUGGAAUACAGUGGCACGAUCACAGCUCACUGCAGCCUCAACCUCCCAGGCUCAAAUGAUCCUCCGACCUCAGCCUCCAGAGUAGAUGGGGCUACAGGCACUAGCCCGGCUAAUUAUUAUUAUUUUUAAGAGAUGGAAUCUCACUAUGUUACCCAGGCUGGUCUUGAACUCUUGGGAUCAAGCGAUCCUCCUGCCUCAGUCUCCAAAAUGCUGGAAUUACAAGCAUGAGCCACUGGACCAAGCUGCACCUUAUGUUUUUAAUACAGAAACAAAGCUUGUAUUUCAGGAAUAGCAAGUAGACCAUGAUUAUCAAGCCUUCCAUUGCCCAAUCUCUCUCUUUUUUUUUUUUUUUUUUGAGGAGUCUCACACUCUGCAGCCCAGGCGGGAGUACACCGGCGCAUUCUCGGCUCACUGCAACCUCUGCCUUCCAGGUUCAAGUGAUACUCCUGCCUCAGCCUCCUAAGUAGUAGGGAUUACAGGCAUGGGCCACCAUGCCUGGCCAAUUUUUGUAUUUUCAAUAGAGACAGGGUUUUGCCAUGUUGGCCAGGCUGGUCUCCAACUCCUGGACUCAAGUGAUCUGCCUGUCUCGGCCUCCCAAAGUGUUGGGAUUACGGGCGUGAGCCUCUGAACCUGGCCUGUCUCCAUGCUUCUUCCACAGCCUGCAGAACUGUGAGCCAAAUGAACCUCUUUCCUUUAUAAGUAACCCAGCCUCAGGUAUUCUUCUAUAGCAAUGCAAAGGGAUUAAGCC